ensembl:snoRNA
AAGACUAUACUUUCAGGGAUCAUUUCUAUAGUUUGUUUUUAGAGAAGUUUCUCUGAUCGUGUAGAGCACCCGAAACCACGAGGAGGAGAUGCAGCGUUCUCUCCUGAGCGUGAAGUUGGCUCUUGUUGUUGCUUUUGCAGCUGCCAUUAGCCAUUGAUGAUCGUUCUUCUUUUCCUUUUUGGAAAUGAAGAGGGAGAGAACGUAGUCUGAGUGGCA